GCUUACACAUGCAGUCGAGCGGAGUGAUGGUGCUUGCACUAUCACUUACGGCGGACGGGUGAGUAAUGCUUAGGAAUCUGCCUAUUAGUGGGGGACAACAUUUCAAAAGGAAUGCUAAUACCGCAUACGUCCUACGGGAGAAAGCAGGGGAUCUUCAGACCUUGCGCUACUAAAUGAGCCCAAAUCUAAUUACCUACUUGGAGGGGGAAAG
rnacentral:rRNA from 1 species